rnacentral:tRNA from 1 species
GGGAAAUUAGCUCAAUGGUAGAGCAGUCGUUUUACACACGAAUUGUUGAGUGUUCAAGUCACUUAUUUCCCAC